UACAGAGGGUGCAAGCGUUGUUCGGAAUUAUUGGGCGUAAAGCGCGUGUAGGCGGCUUUGCAAGUCGGGUGUGAAAGCCCUCAGCUCAACUGAGGAAGUGCGCCCGAAACUGCAGAGCUUGAGUGCCGGAGAGGGUGGCGGAAUUCCCCAAGUAGAGGUGAAAGUUCGUAAGAUAUGGGGAGGAACACCGGUGGCGAAGGCGGCCACC
rnacentral:rRNA from 1 species